CAUCCCAAGGGUCUGGAUUAUGAUGUAAGCCUCGUUCUUGGAAAGCCCAUUCUGGGACAGAUGGGAUACCCUCAUGUAUAUGGUAAGAUGUAAAUCUCUGUGGACCAGGAGUGGAGACCCCUGUCGUGAGCAGGGGCUGAAGCUCUGGGUGAGCAGCCUGGAAGCCAGCAGUGGUGUGAGAAGAAGUCAACCCUAUGGAGGAAGGGGGCUGGGCCACCUCCUUGGACAGUGAGAGUCAAUGCCAGGUGCCCUGCCUGCUGGAAACUCCAGCCUGUGACCAUUCUUUGCCUGUGAAUAAAGCUAGAAAAGCUCCCCUCCCCCACUGCAAGGUUGCAGUAAGAAACAAGCAGUUUGCUGGGGUGGAAGGAGGCUCUAGACAUGAACACGUGUCUGCUGGAGCCCUGAUGUGCCCCAGAGAAGACUGCGCUGAGCUAUUGUGGGCAUGAAUCCCAGGUCUGACCUGUCCUCCUAGGAGGCUGCACGGGAGCACUCAGAAACUUCCAGAUACAGAAAGGUAAAUGGAGAAGGGCAAGGAAAUGUCCAUGCAAGCAGAGUGUGCAGUGGGAAAAUCCAACAGCAGAACAAAAGAACCAACAAAGCCAAUAGCAGAGGGGAAAUCAUGCCUCCCAAAAUAGAAACCAGAGAGCAACCAGGAAGGGACUUUCCCAAAGAGAAAGGAGGGGAAGUCAUUCAUAAAUAGGAACAGGUGUUUACAUCAGCAAAUCACAAGCCCAAAGAUGUUAUGUGAAACAACACCACUCAAUUUGAGCUCAAGUCUCUGCUGACACCAACAAAGUGAUGUCAUCAGGCGUGUUCAUCCUGCUGGAGUCCUGUUGGUGCUGGUUAUACCACUUGAACUGAGGAAAUGUAAGCCCACUUCUGGGAUUAUCUGGAAAAUCCUCCAGCACAGAACUGUGGCUGUUUCAUGACCAAGUGGAAGAGGCUACAGAUUCCCACAAAGAACUACAGGCAUGAGGAGCUUGCUCUUUAGACACUGAGGUGUCUUGAUUAUGAAGACCUUCUGAGGGUGGCUGGCAACUUUCUGACUUUUAAAUAUCUGUACCUCCUCAACACUGGCAGCUUUUCAAUUAUAUGAGGUUGUCAUGUUAGGUUUCAAAGCAUAUUUCUGUGGUUGUUACAGCCCAUGAGCCUGGGGCAGCGAUGGUCAAGACUCUGGUCGACACUUGGGAAAAGCCAUUGAGAUUUGGCCCUUUGAUCGCUUUACUGGUUUUGGACAAGUUUUGUUUUAGUGUCUUCCAAGAAUUGAUGGGAGGUGGGAGGAAAGGCAGGUGAAUGCUUUGAUGCCUAGGCUUCAGGUGUCUCCAUAGCACUUAACACCGGACGGCUGUGUGUGUGCACUCAGCACUUGGAGACGUAGGGUUUUGGGGGCUGACAGGUGCUUUCCUGUCUCUAUCUCAUCUGGAAACUUUUCAGGGACAUGAUUAAUAAGCCUAGGAUUAUUUCAUGCUAGCUUAUUGUAGGGAGAUCUGUAUAAUAUUGUAGUGAGG
rnacentral:lncRNA from 1 species